CACUGCAAGCUUGUACAAACAAGAACUCUUACUACGUGUAUCUUUCGUGCGUGCUAUAGUGUGCUUAGCUGUUGUGUAGCUGCACGCUCCUAGCCCAUAGAAGAGAAGAGAAACCUUGUCUACUUACUAGGGGUGUAACGGUACACAAACAUUUCAGUUCGGUACGUACUUCGGUUCAGAGGUCACGGUUCGGUUCAUUUUCGGUACAGUAAGAAAACAACAAUAUAUACAUUUUUUGGUUAUUUAUUUACCAAAUUAGCAAAAUCUUCCACCAAAAAUAUUUUUCUUAGUGGAAUAUUUGAUGUGAAGUAAUCAUUGAUUUUGAUUCAAUAUUAUGUUUUGAGCAAUGACAGUUUGAAAGAAAAAAAAACAGCUUUGUUUUAUUAGUCAACAUUGCAACUUUUUCUAAAUUACAUUUAACCUUUAAGCUUUUUUAUUUCACCUUUGUUAUGUUUUUGUUUAUUUUAACAGUAUUUUUAGAGUGUGCCGUGGGCUUUUAAAACAUUAGCUGUGGGCCGCAAAUGGCUUCCGGGGCACACUUUUGACACCCCUGCUAUAGAUAAUAAAAAACUAAAUCUAAUGAAUCUAUGGAUAAAAAGCAGAGCCUGGCGACAAAUGCACGUUUAUCAUAACUCUCUCGCUCUCUCUGUCUCUACUCCUCCCUCACGAAUGCUGCUGCGUGCACAAUUUGUUUUGUUUUAAACCCCUUCUUAAAAGCCUACUGAAAUGAGAUUUUCUUAUUCAAACGGGGAUAUCAGGUCCAUUCUAUGUGUCAUACUUGAUCAUUUUGCGAUAUUGCCAUAUUUUUGCUGAAAGGAUUUAGUAGAGAACAUCGACGAUAAAAUUCGCAACUUUUGGUCGCUAUUAAAAAAGCCUUGCCUGUACCGGAAGUAGCAGACGAUGUGCGCCGAUGUGAGGGCUCCUCACAUCCUCACAUUGUUUAUAAUGUGAGCCACCAGCAGUAAGAGCAAUUCGGACCGAGAAAGCGACAAUUUCCCUAUUAAUUUGAGUGAGGAUGAAAGAUUUGUGGAUGAGGAAAGUUAGAGUGAAGCACUAAAAAAAAGAAAAGAAAAGGCGACGGCUCCAGGCGGCGUCAGUGGGAGCGUUUCAGAUGUUAUUAGACACAUUUACUAGGAUAAUUCUGGAAAAUCCCUUAUCUGCUUAUUGUGUUAAUAGUAUUUUAGUGAGAUUAUAAAGUCAUACCUGACACCAGUGUCUCUGAGAAAAGCCGAGGAGCAAAGAUUGCAGCUGCCUUUUUGAGCUGCAGGAUUAGGUCGCGUAAUCCACUCAUGUCUCCGGUAAGAGCCGACUUAAUAUCACAAUUUUCCCAUCCAAAAACUUGCUGGUUGACGUAGAGAAACAUGUUCGCUUGACCGCUCUGUGUUAAAGCUUGACAACAAACAAAGAAACACCGGCUGUGUAUCGGUGCUAAAGGCAGCUGCAAUCCACCGCUUUCCACCAAAGGCAUUAUUCUUUGACGUCUCCAUUAUUAAUUGAAGAAAUUGCAAAAGAUUCAGGAACACAGAUGUCCAAAAGACUGUGUAAUUAUGUGAUUAAAAGAGACUACUUUUAGCCGUAAGUGGUGCUGGGCUAAAAUGUCCCCUCCAACCAAUAACGUCACAAACACGCAUCAUUCCGCGACGUUUUCAACAGGAAACUCCGCGGGAAAUUUAAAAUUGUAAUUUAGUAAACUAAACCGGCCGUAUUGGCAUGUGUUGCAAUGUUAAUAUUUCAUCAUUGAUAUAUAAACUAUCAGACUGCGUGGUCGGUAGUAGUGGCUUUCAGUAGGCCUUUAACCCUGAACGUCCAUUGAAAAUACACGCAACCCUAACUUAAAAUGCCGGACAUUUGAGGCAUUUAAGAAACUCCACCCGGACAGCCCCACAAAAGAGGACAUGUCCGGUGAAAAGAGGAUGUAUGGUUAGUCUAUCGUAGCCCGGUCGCUGCUAGCAUGCCGUGUGUUGUGCCUCGGUGUGCAUUGUUUACACAACGUGCGGUACGCUACUUAAUAUGUCCGUGUGGAAACUCGUUCGAUACACCUCUGAACUGAACCGAAACCCCCGUACCGAAACAGUUCAAUACAAAUACACGUACCGUUACACCCCUAGUACUUACUGGAGGACAUUGUGAUGUUAACUGUCCACAUGAAAACACUACUUGUGUCGGCCAUUUCAGAUGCAAGCAGAGACAAUCUGAUACUUGUUUUUUGCAGAUAUUGGGCCGAUAUCAGUAUUAGAUCGAGACACAAUUUCUGGACUGUAAUACAAAAAACUGUCAUAAAAACAGCCGUUUUUCCAUGAAUUGAUUAACGUGGACCCGACUUAAACAAGUUGAAAAACUUAUUCGGGUGUUACCGUUUAGUGGUCAAUUGUACGGAAUAUGUACUGUACUGUGCAAUCGACUAAUGAAAGUCUCAAUAAAUAAAUAAAAAUCUGAUAUCAGAACGGGACCCCCCUUGUACUUUUUGUUUGUUUUGUUAGUUAAAUGAUCCAUCCAUCCAUCCAUUUUCUACCGCUUAUUCCCUUUGGGGUCGCGGUGGGCUCUGGUGCCUAUCUCAGCUACAAUCGGGCGGGAGGCGGUGUACACCCUGGACAAGUCGCCACCUCAUCGCAGGGCCAACACAGAUAGACAGACAACAUUCACACUCUAAGGACCAUUUAGUGUUGCCAGUCAACUUAUCCCCAGGUGCAUGUCUUUGGAGGUGGGAAGAAGCCGGAGUACCCGGAAGGAACCCACGCAUUCACGGGGAGAACAUGCAAACUCCACACAGAAAGACCCCGAGCCCGGGAUUGAACCCUGACUACUUAAGACCUUCAUAUUGUGAGGCAGACGCACUAACCUUUCUUCCACCGUAAAGCCCUAGUUAAGUGAUUUAGGAUUUAUUUUUCAACCCAUUUUCUGUAUCGUGCUUGUACUACUUGAGGACAAUACAACUGCCGAUAUUGGUACACUCUUAGUUACAAAGUGUCACAAACAGAUUGCCCUCUUGCCUACCUUUGCGUGUCUCUGCAGUUGCUGUACAAUCUCGGAGGCGGUGUGGGACUGCAGGGUCUCCAACUCCUGGGCGACGAGGGCAAGCGCCAGCACGGACGACUGUGGAGGACAAAGACCACGUCACAGCCUGUUGGCUGUCAAAACCCCCCCCCAGGACUUACUUUGGCUUUGGAGAAAACCAGCCGACAUAGGCAGGAUUUGAGCUGAGCUUCCAGCCUCCCGACGCCGGGGAUCUCCACCCUGUAAACAUCAAGAAGAAUGUGACGCGCUCGCACAAGGAAGGAGGCUCACGGGUGGAGCGGGCGCUUACCCCUGGGCGCACGCGCAGGUCAAGGCCGAGUGGUAGAGGUGCAGAAAGGUCAGGGCCGUCACCGCAGCCCUGGGCUCCGGGCCCAGUUUCUCCGAAAUGACCUUCUCCAUGCGGCGCAGGUCCGACUCUGUGAACUUGCUCUGGCUGAUGCGAAUGAGCUCGCGGCCAGGUGCCACAUUGCUGGCCUCCUCCGUCACGCCGGCCGCCAAGUGGAGGCAGCAGACGGCGAUGCACGGCACGUGUUUGGGCUGAGCCUGUCGGCGAGACACGUGAGGAGUCGUCUCGUGAUGGACUGUUCAACCAGCGAGGAGCUCGAAAGAGGCAUCAAGGAAACCCAGAAGCUUCAGGAAGAAGUAGAAAAUGCCACCAAAUUUACAUUGGAGAAGUUCGGCUGCACAGACGGACACGUUUAUGCUCCGUCGUGGGAUUCAUCCCAUCUGCAGGCAGCAGGGCAGAGAGAUGUCAGCCCCACCACGAGAAAGGAGGCAUCUGCUCCACAUGAACAAGGCAUGGAAAGCCUGCAGACCAGUUUCCAGCAAGUCCAGAUGGAGAGGAGGACUGAUUCGAGGAGGCAGGUUGAUCAGAUGGAAAAGAUGCUCAGCUUGCUGGAGGAGCUCCAAGCCAUCAAAAGGUCAGGUGACCAGAAUCUGCGGGAAGCCCAGAAUGAGACGUGGCAGCUGAACAAGAACGUGGAGGCGCUGGAGGGAAACAUCAAGAAAUGGUGCCAGACUUUGCUAUCCCACGAGAAAACUGUCUCGAGCACCAUCGCCUCUGACAGACAGACAGAGUCACACUUGCAGCUGGCAGAACAUGUGAACAGUGACGACCUCAGCGGAGGAGAGAUUGACCAAAAAAUGGCGCCCUUAGUUGCAAGCCUUGGCCAGGAGGUGGCGAUGCUGAACCACAAACUGCGCUCAUCCAAAGAGAGCGGCGCUCGCAUCAGCACCAAACUGGACCUUCUAAUGAGAUCCCUAUAUCAGGUCAGUGAGGAGGAGGUGCAGACCCCAGGAGGAGAGCAAGGCGCGACCGAAGAGGAGAAAUCCCAAGAAGCCAUGCAGACCCACCUGGCUGCAGACCCUCAGCGUGUUGAGGCGCAGGACCCGGAGAAGCAGCAACUCGCCGCCCAGCUGGAGGUGCAGCACAGGCGCCUGCUCGCCAUCACUAAGGCGCACGGAGAGCUGCAACAGCUCCACAGCUGCACGACUGAGGAGCACAAGGGCAUCGUGCUGAGGCUCCAGGGCCGGAUGGACAGAGUCCAGACUGAGCUGGACCGGGUCAAACGCACCCUGAGGACGCUGGAAGGCGCUGACUGCCACGGCCUCCGAGCGGCCUUGGACAUGCAGAAGGAAAUCACAGCCGGGAGACGGCAGACGGACACUCUGCAGGCCAGAGUCCGACAACUGGAGGAGACGCUAAAGAAACUGAACCAGGAGAGGUUCUACCAAGACGUGGAGAACCGGCGUCAGGUCCGCCAGCUGGCCUUUGUCGAGCAGGAGAAGAGGCAACUUGCUCACCAACUGGACGCCGUCUGCUCCAAAGACAAACAUUUAAGGGAGAGGAUCGGCGAGCUGGAGGCCAUCCUUCACAAGACGGCCGAGAGCUUUGCCAACUGUCAAGAUUUUAUCCAGCUGAAGGAGCAGGAGUUCUUCCGCCUAAAAGUCAAACACAUCCUGGACUUGAAGGAGUUCCAAGGUCCAAACGUAACUCCACCUGAACUGGACUCUCCGACCUUGAAUGCACUCGGUGAUCUUCAUCCCUCCGCCCAGGACGCCUGCAACGCCCAGAUCAAGGAGCGGCGGGAGAGCCUCGCCCCGGGCCGGCUGGGAGCGCUCUCACAGAACCCGGGAGGAGGACCACCCACAGACAACGGCGCCGCCCCCGGGAGGAGGUCCCCGCCGGCGAGAGCGCACAGACCCGCAUUCAUCGAGGAGGUCAAGGCCCACAAAGCAGCUCACAGACCAAAAACGUACCACGGCGAGCCUCAUUCCCCCAAGAAGACGGCCGAGCCGGGACCACUGGGAGACAGUCACAUGCGGUCAGCUUUGGCGAGUGCAACGAAGAACACUCUCUCCCCCCCGCGCCGACUGUUGUCGGGCCGCCGGUCACCUGUGCACGCUCUGCUGACCUCUGACCCUGCACACAGCUGACCCACACAACAACAGCAGUCUUGAAAAUGGCUCACGCUGCACCGAUGUUUCCGGAUUCUGUGUCAUGGGGAAGGCAAAAGAAUUGUCAAAGGGAUCUGCGAGAAAAGGGGAGAAGGAGGAGAGAACGAGACUGGUGAUGGUGCGGAGCGAGAGCAACACAUACAACGAUGGAGACGGAGACGGAGAACAAGAGGCAGACGGAAGUACGUUCUGCCGAAAAGCAGACGUCGGAGCGAGCAGCAGAAAGUGACGAGAGACCCGACCGCAGACAAGGUUGUGUUGGAAAAUAAAGCAAGUCAAACCUGCUCAAAGUCAUGUCCUUCCUUGGUGGUCCAUGGAACCCGCAAGACGACGGCACGAGUCUGUCAGAAUGCCCUUUCCCGACUACUUCGGCGCGUGUUGCAGCCAUGAAAUUCUAAGGUAAUUAUUAUUUGCCGAAAAAAAUGAAGUUUAUGAGUUUGAACAUUAGAUAUGUUGUCUUUGUAGUGCAUUCAAUUGAAUAUGGGUUGAAAAGGAUUGGCAAAUCAUUGUAUUCCGUUUAUAUUUACAUCCAGCACAAUUUCCCAAGUCAUAUGGAAACGGGGUUUGUAUAUGUAUGUUUGUACCCUGAAUGAUAUGUACAUGUAUGUGUAUAUGUAUGUUUGUACCUUGAAUGUGAGUGUGGAAGUACGAACUUUGAUUAUGUAGGUAUGUAAUGUAUUUGUGUAUGUAUUUUGUAGCGUAAGUACCUAUGUAUAUAUGUAUGUAUGUAACGACACUGUACAGUACAGUACAGUGUCUACGCCUUUCUCCUCAAUUGAGCUAAAUUGAAUUCUGUCUCCGUUUAAUUCCUUGCUUCUUGUCUUGUUUAAUAGAUGUCAUCAGUUUGUUUGAACCUGACAGGACAGCGUGGCGCGGUUGGACGAGUGCCAACAGUCUACUGACCUCGUCAUGUCCGUUGUGUCCUUGAGCAAGACACUUCACCCUUGCUCCUGAUGGGUGCUGGUUAACGCCUUGCAUGGCAGCUCCCUCCAUCAGUGUGUGAAUGUGGAAAUAGCGUCAAAGCGCUUUGAGUACCUUGAAGGUAGAAAAGCACUAUACAAGUACAAACCAGUUACCGUUAUGUAAGCUACCUCGCUACAUGGGUCUAAAAAUAGCUAAGCUACAAAAAUUGCGACUUGUUCAAAAAGUACUGAAGCUACUAAAUGUAUGCAUAGCUUUGCUUCAUUCUUUGACUCAUUUCACUUGAUCAAACGUUUUCUAACAUUCCACUCUACGAAAUAGGGGAAAAAAUGGGUUAGUCUAGCUCAGUGUUUUUUAACC